rnacentral:rRNA from 1 species
GAUGAACGCUGGCGGCGUGCCUAAUACAUGCCAGUCGAGCGAACAGACGAGGAGCUUGCUCCUCUGACGUUAGCGGCGGACGGGUGAGUAACACGUGGAUAACCUACCUAUAAGACUGGGAUAACUUCGGGAAACCGGAGCUAAUACCGGAUAAUAUAUUGAACCGCAGGGUUCAAUAGUGAAAGACGGUUUUGCUGUCUCUUAUAGAUGGAUCCGCGCCGCAUUAGCUAGUUGGUAAGGUAACGGCUUACCAAGGCAACGAUGCGUAGCCGACCUGAGAGGGUGAUCGGCCACACUGGAACUGAGACACGGUCCAGACUCCUACGGGAGGCAGCAGUAGGGAAUCUUCCGCAAUGGGCGAAAGCCUGACGGAGCAACGCCGCGUGAGUGAUGAAGGUCUUCGGAUCGUAAAACUCUGUUAUUAGGGAAGAACAAAUGUGUAAGUAACUAUGCACGUCUUGACGGUACCUAAUCAGAAAGCCACGGCUAACUACGUG